AGGUUAUAUAUAUGCACCAGAACAUAUCUGUGGAUGUAUUUCAUAUAAACAACCAACAAACUCAAUUGAAUAUUUAUGGAUGAGAAAGCAUCGAUACCGGCAAUAUAUUUACAUUAUAAACGCAUUAAUAAAAAAAAUGCUGUUGUGUAUAACUGUUCAGAAUAUUCCCACCCCUUUAUGAAUUAUGAUGUCUAUAUUUUAAGGAACUGAUCUAAUGACGACUCAGAUAUUAAACGAUUUUAAAUUUUAUGAGAUCAUACAGUACUCAUAAGCAGAGUUAAGCUUAUAAAAGAUCAAUUUCGGAUUCAUGCUUUUUGGAAAGUUACAAUAAUUAUAAAAUUAAUGACCAGAUUUAGCUGACAUUUUAGGAGAUUGACAGCUAUGGAGCUUAUGUGCGAAACUGAAUUUCACACAAAAGACCAGUAAAUGCAGUUCAGUGUUUAUGAAGAGAUAAUGCGGAUAUGUACAAUGAACUAAUCGUAAUCGUAUUGCAAAUGUUGAGAAUGAGUAGUUCUCUAAUUGAUAUUUAAGUGAACGAAAUUUUCAAUUGGUGAAAUACUGGCUAAUCUAUAUUUAUACGCACUUAUAACAACUUCAAAUCUUCUAGAAGUAUUAGUAUGCAAGAAGCACUUAUAAGGACAACUUUAAAUCUUCUAGAAGUAUUAGUAUGCAAGAAGAUUAAUAUGUAAAUUAUUAAAACGGUUUUAUAAAAGUUCAUUUAAAAUGAAUUGUCGGAUACCACGGAUGUUGAAAUAGAUCUAUGACAAUGAUGAUGAAGAUGCAUUACUUUCUACACAGUUGGCAUGCGUGAUUGGAUACAUCAAAAACAAAUGCCACACACAUUCUAAAUUUAGUACAAAGGAGGAUAUAUAGUAAACAUUUUUUCAAUAUAAUUCUUUUUUUCAGGUUUCUUAA